rnacentral:rRNA from 1 species
UGUGCGGUUUAAUUGGAUUCAACGCCGGAAAACUCACCAUAGCCGACGGACAUAUGAAGGCCAGCGUAAUGAGCUUGCUGGAUUGUUCGAGAGGUAGUGCAUGGCCGUCGUCAGUUCGUACCGCAAGGCGUUCUGUUAAGUCAGAUAACGAACGAGACCCUCAUCCCUAUUUGCCAAGGUCUGUCCGCAGAUCACGGGACUAUAGGGAGACCGCUGGCGCGAAGUCAGAGGAAGGCGAGGGCAACGGUAGGUCAGUAUGCUCCGAAUGCUAUGGGCUACACGCGCAAUACAAAGGACGGGACAAUGGGCUGCAACUCCGAGAGGAAUGACGCUAUCCCGAAACCCGUUCGUAGUUCGGAUUGAGGGCUGUAACUCGCCCUCAUGAAGCUGGAUUAGGUAGUAAUCGCGUCUCAAAAAGGCGCGGUGAAUAUGCCCCUGCUCCUUGCACACACCGCCCGUCAAACCAUCUUAGUUGUGGGUGGGUGAGGCUGCCUCUCUUUCGAGAUGUGGUAUUCGAGCCUGCCUUCGACAAGGAGGGUUAAGUCGUAACAAGGUA